CGUCAGCUCGUGUCGUGAGAUGUUGGGUUAAGUCCGUAACGAGCGCAACCCUUGUCCUUAGUUACCAGCACGUUAUGGUGGGCACUCUAAGGAGACUGCCGGUGACAAACCGGAGGAAGGUGGGGAUGACGUCAAGUCAUCAUGGCCCUUACGGCCUGGGCUACACACGUGCUACAAUGGUCGGUACAAAGGGUUGCCAAGCCGCGAGGUGGAGCUAAUCCCAUAAAACCGAUCGUAGUCCGGAUCGCAGUCUGCAACUCGACUGCGUGAAGUCGGAAUCGCUAGUAAUCGUGAAUCAGAAUGUCACGGUGAAUACGUUCCCGGGCCUU
rnacentral:rRNA from 1 species